ACACUGCACAAACUCCCUUAAGACUUCACUUCUUUCUUUUAUGAUUCUUCACUUGAAACAAUUUCUCACCUUCCUUUUGCUUCUUGAGGGCUUUCUUUAUUUUGGGUCUGUUUGUUUUUGUGUUUCUUUCAGUUCCUCUCCUCAUUUUUUCUUUCCUUUCGACGAAAAAAUUUCAUCUUUGAAUGCUCUUUGAGAGAGGGUAUUGCAAUAAAGAAUGGUGAAAACGGUCAACUCUCCAUCUUCUUCUCCGGUGACCAUAACGGUCUCAUCAGGUGGCAAAGGAGGAGGAAGUCGAAGCAUGGGAUUAACAAGUCCAGUACCAAGAGCUUCAAUAUCAAACAACCCAAAUUCCCCUCUCAGCAACAGCAAGAACCGGAUCUCAAGCGGAGGCAGAUACUCUUCAAUGUCUAAAGAUGAUACCACGGAGGAGAUCAACUCAGAAUUUGUCACAUAUACAGUUCAUAUCCCUCCUACUCCAGACCACCAGCCAAUGUCAGUCUCACAGAACAGCCUCUCUGAACAUAUCAACAACGCUGGCAAGCCUGAGAAGAGUUUCAUUUCGGGUACUAUCUUCACUGGUGGUUUCAAUUCAGUGACGCGUGGUCAUGUCAUUGACUGCUCAAUGGAAGUAACCAAGUCACUGAAAUCAGGGCUUGUUUGUGGGAUGAAGGGUUGUGAUGAUAAAGCAAUUCAAGGAAAAUGCGAGUGUGGAUUCAAGAUUUGUAGAGAUUGUUAUUUAGAUUGUGUGGGGUCUAAUGGAGUGGGCCAUUGUCCUGGUUGCAAAGAACCAUAUUUGGAUGUUGAUGAAAAGGAUUUUGGUGAAGAUGAUGAAGCUAAAAGCGAAGAAGAAGACCAGGCAUUGCCGUUGCCUAGGUUGGAUAAGAGGCUUUCCCUUGUAAAGUCAUUCAAGGCAAUGAAUCAUCCCCCUGAUUUUGAUCACACGCGAUGGUUGUUUGAGACAAAGGGAACUUAUGGGUAUGGGAAUGCGGUAUGGCCUAAAGAUGGUUAUGGAGCUGGGUCAGGGGCAAAUGGAUUUGAACAUCCUCCAGAUUUUGGAGAGAGAAGUAGGAGGCCUUUGACUAGGAAGGUUGGGGUUUCCGCUGCAAUUCUUAGCCCAUACAGACUACUAAUUGCAAUACGAUUGGCCGCCCUCGGUAUGUUUCUUACAUGGAGAAUCCGACAUCCUAAUCGCGAAGCAAUGUGGUUGUGGGGGAUGUCCAUAACUUGUGAGACCUGGUUUGCCAUUUCGUGGCUUCUUGAUCAGCUUCCUAAGCUCUGCCCUGUAAAUAGGGUGAUUGACCUUUCUGUGCUGAAAGAUCGCUUCGAAUCCCCCAAUCUUCGAAACCCAAAAGGCCGAUCAGACCUUCCGGGCAUUGAUGUGUUUGUUUCAACAGCAGAUCCUGAGAAAGAACCCCCUCUGGUCACAGCAAACACCAUUCUUUCAAUCCUUGCAGUUGAUUAUCCGGUGGAAAAGCUCGCUUGCUACUUAUCGGAUGAUGGUGGAUCUCUUUUGACUUUUGAAGCUCUAGCUGAGACUGCUAGCUUUGCCAGAAUUUGGGUUCCUUUCUGCAGAAAACACAAUAUAGAACCAAGGAACCCUGAGGCUUAUUUCGGGCAGAAGCGUGAUUUCCUUAAGAACAAAGUGAGGCUUGACUUUGUUAGGGAAAGGAGAAGAGUGAAGAGAGAAUAUGAUGAAUUUAAGGUGAGGAUUAAUUCGUUGCCUGAAUCAAUAAGGAGAAGAUCAGAUGCUUACAACGCCCAUGAAGAGCUUCGAGCGAAGAAGAAACAGAUGGAAAUGGGUGGCAAUCCAUCAGAACCUAUUAAGGUACCAAAGGCUACUUGGAUGUCAGAUGGUUCCCAUUGGCCUGGGACUUGGGCUUCAGGAGAGACCGACCACUCAAGGGGGGACCAUGCUGGUAUAAUUCAGGCAAUGUUAGCCCCACCAAAUGCAGAACCUGUUUUGGGGGCAGAAGCAGAUGGGGAGAAUUUGAUCGACACAACAGAAGUUGACAUCAGAUUGCCAACGCUGGUCUACGUGUCUCGUGAGAAGAGGCCAGGUUAUGAUCACAACAAGAAAGCUGGAGCUAUGAAUGCUCUAGUUAGAACUAGUGCAAUCAUGUCAAAUGGUCCGUUCAUUUUAAAUCUCGACUGUGAUCACUAUAUUUAUAACUCUCUGGCUUUGAGGGAGGGAAUGUGCUUUAUGCUUGAUAGAGGUGGUGACAGGAUCUGUUAUGUUCAAUUUCCACAAAGGUUUGAGGGGAUUGAUCCGAGUGAUCGCUAUGCUAACCACAACACGGUGUUCUUUGAUGUGAGCAUGAGAGCUCUUGAUGGGUUGCAGGGUCCAAUGUAUGUAGGAACGGGCUGCAUUUUCCGCAGAACGGCUCUUUAUGGGUUCGGUCCUCCUAGAACCACAGAACACCAUGGAUGGUUUGGCAGAAAGAAAAUCAAGUUGUUUUUGAGGAAACCCAAGACGACAAAGAAGGAUGAGAUGGAAUUUUCAAUCAACGGGGACCACAAUGAUGAUGAUGCAGAUAUUGAGUCUUUGCUUCUACCAAAAAGGUUUGGAAACUCCACUUCUCUGGCUGCGUCUAUCCCCAUUGCAGAGUACCAGGGAAGGUUGCUUCAAGAUGUGCAAGGAAAGGGCAAUCAAGGAAGACCAGCAGGUUCCCUUGCUGUUCCUAGGGAGCCUUUGGAUGCUGCAACUGUUGCAGAGGCAAUUAGUGUUAUCUCUUGCUUCUAUGAGGACAAAACUGAGUGGGGCAAAAGGGUGGGAUGGAUCUAUGGUUCUGUGACAGAAGAUGUGGUGACUGGUUAUCGAAUGCACAAUCGAGGAUGGAGGUCUGUCUAUUGUGUAACCAAAAAGGAUGCAUUUCGUGGGACAGCUCCAAUUAAUCUAACAGACAGGCUUCACCAAGUCCUUCGAUGGGCAACUGGCUCAGUUGAAAUAUUUUUCUCAAGGAACAAUGCUCUAUUUGCUAGUCCCCGGAUGAAAUUCUUACAGAGGGUGGCAUAUUUCAACGUGGGAAUGUACCCUUUUACCUCUAUGUUUCUCAUAGUAUAUUGUGUUCUACCUGCGGUAUCUCUAUUUUCUGGUCAAUUCAUUGUCCAAUCUCUCAGCGUGACCUUCCUAGUGUUCUUGUUGGCCAUCACAAUUACCCUAUGCUUGCUUGCACUCCUGGAAAUCAAGUGGUCAGGAAUCACUCUCCAUGAUUGGUGGCGAAAUGAACAGUUUUGGUUGAUUGGGGGAACAAGUGCCCAUCCUGCAGCAGUAUUGCAAGGACUGCUGAAAGUUAUAGCAGGAGUUGACAUCUCAUUCACAUUGACGUCUAAAUCUGCCACACCUGAUGAGGGAGAUGAUGAGUUUGCUGAGCUAUAUGUGGUAAAAUGGAGCUUCUUAAUGGUACCUCCAAUCACAAUAAUGAUGUUGAACCUGAUUGCAAUUGCAGUAGGAGUAGCAAGGACCAUGUAUAGUACUUAUCCACAAUGGAGCAAGCUUCUUGGAGGAGUGUUCUUCAGCUUCUGGGUAUUGUCCCAUCUAUACCCAUUUGCAAAAGGCUUAAUGGGAAGAAGGGGGAAGGUCCCAACCAUUGUCUAUGUCUGGUCCGGAUUGCUCUCCAUCAUCAUUUCUCUGCUAUGGGUGUACAUUAGUCCUCCUUCUGGAAGGGAAGAAGACUACAUGAAGUUUCACUUCCCUUGAUAUUUGAAGUUUCACCUCCUGGUUAUAUUAUAUAUGUAGGCAUGUGGGCUAUAUGUAACAGCAGCAGACAAAAUGUGAAGUUUCUCAACUUCAUCUUUGUAGUUUUACUUUACUCUGUAAUUGAUUUGAAUUCUGCUCCUUCAUUCUCACCUUCUGCUGGAACUUGGAAAAUUGUUACCAUUCAUUGGUCGUCUAAGUUAUAUAAUCUGACUCUACAGCUGCAAGUUUUUCAUGUUGUUGUGAGAAAUAAGUAUCAAAUGCAUUGUUUA
rnacentral:misc_RNA from 1 species